AUUUUUGUUCCAUUUAUUUUGGCUGUGGUAUAUUAGGAUUCUGCUGAAAAGAAAUAUGAGGGAAAACACAAGCAGAAAGAGCCACAUGGUGUUGAAUACAGAUUUGAAAUUCAUGAGCUUUGCAACAUCUUCACAUCAGGACAAAUAACCCCCCUGCUGUUGAAAUCACUUGCAUAAUUUAUAACUUUCAAAAUUGGAAUUGCAUCAUUGCUCCUUUGCAAUUAUCCUGUAGUCAAGCCUUUCACCUUAUUGAAAGCUUUUUCACAGAUUACAGACAUAACAUUCUUCAGGAGGAUGACUGUCAGUUGCUGCUAUUUUCAAGUGAAAUGACACACCAAUGCAAGAAAUUUACUCAAUAUUCCUUUAAACCAGUGGAAUAG
rnacentral:lncRNA from 1 species